GACGAGCCACACGAACGUUAUUCGGAAUUACUGGGCUUAAAAGGGUGCGUAGGCUGCGCGGAAAGUUGGGUGUGAAAUCCCUCGGCUCAACCGAGGAACUGCGCCCAAAACUGCCGUGCUCGAGGAAGAUAGAGGUAAGCGGAACUUACGGUGGAGCGGUGAAAUGCGUAGAUAUCGUUUGGAACGCCAAAGGUGAAAACAGACAGCUGGGAGUGUGCUGACGCUGAGACACGAAAGCCAGGGGAGCGAACGGG
rnacentral:rRNA from 1 species